rnacentral:lncRNA from 1 species
AUGGACAACUGUUGUGUGUUGUGGUUGAAGCUGCAGUUUUGUUGUUACUGUAAUGGGAGAGGAGCGGGGGUGAGGAAGAGGGCUGAAGAUGGAGAAUCGGGCCACUCGGUGUGGGACCCCCCUCUGACCCCUCUCUCUGGGGUCCAGCAGGGCCUGGGCCUCCAAGCAGAGACACAGCUCAGCGACUCCCUGCAGGCCUUGGGUGGGGAAGCAGAAGCGUCAGGGGUCCUUGCAGCGGCCAACCAGACUGCUUCCUUGACCUUGGUGGUGACUCUGCACCCAUCCGAGGCCACACUCCGAGCGAAACUGAGGCCCACGCUGCCUGCACCGCAUGCGCUUCCCCCGGAGACCUCGCUAACCGUCCAUUGUGGGUGGGAGGCCGGGCACCGGCUGCGCCUGGAGCUGCACACUGGGGCCUGCGAGCUUCAGGGCAGUGGUGAGCUGCAGCUGGACCGCCGGCUGCAGUGGCGGGUGGUGGCCGAGAGCUCCUGCGAGGGCCUGCAGGCGCUGGGGGUCCCAGGCCGAGUCAACAGCUCCGGCUACAUUGUGGUGAACUCCACGGCCAUGGACGCUCAGGUGCUGGUCACCGUGGAUGCCAGCACGCUACGGGGGCUGCUUGUCCUCAGUACCACCGAGGUGAGGGUGCAGACCAGGAUGGCCUGGGAUGCCGGGGCCAAGUGCUCCUGACGAGAGAAGCAUUUGGAUACCAGCUGAGCUCCAGAGAGGACCCUGGCAGAUGAGAGCUUCAGGGUCCAUGAGUAGAGGGAUGAGACUUCCGAGGAGAAGUCCCUCAGCUGCCCCGUCCCCUUCCUAACUCCCCAGGGGCCAUCGCUUAUCUGACUCUUCUAAUGUCAUGGUCACGAAAGCACACAGCCUGCUCGCUUUUGCAUCUGCC